AUACCCCAUAGGCCGAGAGGUUAAAGGCAGAGAUGCGCGACAGGAGGUACUCGUGUCCUAUCAGCUAGUUGGUGAGGUAAGGGCUCACCAAGGCUUCGACGGGUAGCCGGCCUGAGAGGGUGACCGGCCACACUGGAACUGAGAUACGGUCCAGACUCCUACGGGAGGCAGCAGUGGGGAAUAUUGGGCAAUGGGAGGAAUCCUGACCCAGCGACGCCGCGUGAACGAAGACGGCCUUCGGGUUGUAAAGUUCUUUUAUGUGGGAAGAAGGAAGUGACGGUACCACAUGAAUAAGCCCCGGCUAACUACGUGCCAGCAGCCGCGGUAAUACGUAGGGGGCGAGCGUUGUCCGGAAUUACUGGGCGUAAAGGGCACGCAGGCUGUGCUUCAAGUCAGCUGUAAAAGGAUGCGGCUUAACCGUGUUAUGCAGUUGAGACUGAGGUGCUGGAGUACUGGAGAGGCAAGUGGAAUUCCCAGUGUAGCGGUGAAAUGCGUAGAUAUUGGGAAGAACAUCGGUGGCGAAGGCGACUUGCUGGACAGUAACUGACGCUGAGGUGCGAAAGCCAGGGUAGCGAACGGGAUUAGAUACCCCGGUAGUCCUGGCUGUAAACGAUGAAUGCUAGGUGUGCGAGCAGAGAUGUUGGCGUGC
rnacentral:rRNA from 1 species